rnacentral:lncRNA from 1 species
GUAUCUCUGCACCACUGAAGCAACAUUUGGAGGGUACAGACGGGCAGAUUCCGAAGUGAAGCGUUGAGCAAAGAGUGAUCUCCAAAGGACGAUAGCUUCAAGAGAAGUAGCUGGACCUAUUAGCAGCAUUGUUGAUUUCAGUGAUGUCCUUUCAAGCACAAGUACAGAAAGACUCUAGGAGAGAUCAGCAAUGAACUAUGACUGAACCAGGAUAAAACCAGACAGAACCAGGAUAGAAGAAAGGCUCUGUUCAGGAUUGACUGCACAAGACACCCAAGAUGUAGACAUGGAUAAGGUGAUGGGCCGGAGACCGAAGAAUGUGAGCAUGUACUUAAAUCACUGUAAGCAUGUAUGUAUGUUCCACUAGCAGACUUUAAGCAAGAGGGAACAUAAUCAGACCACUUCUGUGGUUUCUGUUUUAAGCAAAUACAUCUAAGUGCAUUGUU